UCAAAGGUGCGUUUGGAAUGACAUCAAGAGAAGAUCUCAAAAAACUCAUUAGAUCUUAGAUUGCAAGGACAAUAAUCAGCAAAUCGUAGAGCAAUAUUAAAAGAAGAUCACACCCUCUUCAUGGAGAUAUCCGACAUGGACAUGAAUGAUUAUGAAGAAAGGCAAGCCGCAUCUUAUGAAUGGACAUAUUUGAUAUGGACGUAUUACCCUCAAUCAAGGAAUCAAAUCAAAUCCUUGAUUUAGAAGAAAUCCCUUGGAUAUUCAUUCUAUGUAAGAUAGCAGGAUCAUCUGAUGAAUAUAAAAGGGGAAGACUAAAAAC
rnacentral:lncRNA from 1 species